UCCCUACGGGGCGCAGCAGGCGCGAAAACUUUACAAUGCGGGAAACCGUGAUAAGGGGACACCGAGUGCCAGCAUCAUAUGCUGGCUGUCCGGGUGUGUAAAAUACACCCGUUAGCAAGGGCCGGGCAAGACCGGUGCCAGCCGCCGCGGUAACACCGGCGGCCCGAGUGGUGAUCGUGAUUAUUGGGUCUAAAGGGUCCGUAGCCGGUUUGGUCAGU
rnacentral:rRNA from 1 species